rnacentral:rRNA from 1 species
AGAGUUUGAUCAUGGCUCAGGAUGAACGCUAGCUACAGGCUUAACACAUGCAAGUCGAGGGGAAACGACAUCGAAAGCUUGCUUUUGAUGGGCGUCGACCGGCGCACGGGUGAGUAACGCGUAUCCAACCUGCCCACCACUUGGGGAUAACCUUGCGAAAGUAAGACUAAUACCCAAUGACGUCUCUAGAAGACAUCUGAAAGGGAUUAAAAGAUUUAUCGGUGAUGGAUGGGGAUGCGUCUGAUUAGCUUGUUGGCGGGUAACGGCCACAAGGCUACGAUCAGUAGGGGUUCUGAGAGGAAGGUCCCCCAGAUUGGAACUGAGACCACGGUCCAAACUCCUACGGGAGCA